GAUGAACGCUGGCGGCGUGCCUAAUACAUGCAAGUCGAGCGAACGGACGAGAAGCUUGCUUCUCUGAUGUUAGCGGCGGACGGGUGAGUAACACGUGGAUAACCUACCUAUAAGACUGGGAUAACUUCGGGAAACCGGAGCUAAUACCGGAUGAUAUUUUGAACCGCAUGGUUCAAAAGUGAAAGACGGUCUUGCUGUCACUUAUAGAUGGAUCCGCGCUGCAUUAGCUAGUUGGUAAGGUAACGGCUUACCAAGGCAACGAUGCAUAGCCGACCUGAGAGGGUGAUCGGCCACACUGGAACUGAGACACGGUCCAGACUCCUACGGGUGGCAGCAGUAGGGAAUCUUCCGCAAUGGGCGAAAGCCUGACGGAGCAACGCCGCGUGAGUGAUGAAGGUCUUCGGAUCGUAAAACUCUGUUAUUAGGGAAGAACAUAUGUGUAAGUAACUGUGCACAUCUUGACGGUACCUAAUCAGAAAGCCACGGCUAACUACGUG
rnacentral:rRNA from 1 species